rnacentral:rRNA from 1 species
UACGUAGGGUGCGAGCGUUAAUCGGAAUUACUGGGCGUAAAGCGUGCGCAGGCGGUUCGUUAUGUCCGAUGUGAAAGCCCCGAGCUUAACUUGGGAAUGGCAUUGGAAACUGGCGGGCUGGAGUGCGGCAGAGGGGGGUGGAAUUCCACGUGUAGCAGUGAAAUGCGUAGAGAUGCGGAGGAACACCGAUGGCGAAGGCAGCCCCCUGGGCUGACACUGACGCUCAGGCACGAAAGCGUGGGGAGCAAACAGG